AUUGAACGCUGGCGGAAUGCUUUACACAUGCAAGUCGAACGGUAGAGGGGGCAACCCCUUGAGAGUGGCGAACGGGUGAGUAAUAUAUCGGAACGUGCCCAGUCGUGGGGAUAACGUAGCGAAAGUUACGCUAAUACCGCAUACGAUCUAAGGAUGAAAGCGGGGGACUCGCAAGAGCCUCGCGCGAUUGGAGCGGCCGAUAUCAGAUUAGGUAGUUGGUGGGGUAAAGGCUCACCAAGCCAACGAUCUGUAGCUGGUCUGACGAGGACGACCAGCCACACUGGAACUGAGACACGGUCCAGACUCCUACGGGAGGCAGCAGUGGGGAAUUUUUGGACAAUGGACGCAAGUCUGAUCCAGCCAUUCCGCGUGCAGGAUGAAGGCCCUCGGGUUGUAAACUGCUUUUGUACGGAACGAAAAGGUUUCUAUUAAUACUAGGAGCUCAUGACGGUACCGUAACGGAAUAAGCACCGGACUAACUACGUAGCCAGCAGCCGC
rnacentral:rRNA from 1 species